GGGGAUAGGGAGAGUGAUUAAGAUUCACCACCUCCGACACCACAAGAUGGUAAUAACAACAAGGAAAAAUGAAAUCAAAUGCAAGAAUGAGGCAAGCCGAAGAUAGGGGAGGACGGCGAUGACGAUAAGAUGGGGGAGGCUAAUGUUAGAUAGUCCAAUGCCAACAUGAAAAGUUCGGUAACCUGGAGAAGGAGGCGAAGAUCACCAGAGGUGUCGCCGAAGUUGGUUACAAUGACAGACAUGAAAUGAAAGUACGAAAACCAAUGGUCACUCCCAACACUAGUCCAAUGCGGCAGAGACCUUGGACACUUUUCCAUGUGUUCCUCGAGAGAAGUGGCAAUUAGGUACCAUUUUUUCGAGGUCCUGAGGGAGGAGCAUAGGUGGACGCUUUUGGCAUUAAACCCUCUAUUCUUUCCUUCUUGAGGGAAGACUUCAAGCCUAAGCUAAAGGUGAC
rnacentral:lncRNA from 1 species